rnacentral:rRNA from 1 species
AGUGAACGCUGGCGGUAGGCCUAACACAUGCAAGUCGAACGGCAGCACAGUAAGAGCUUGCUCUUACGGGUGGCGAGUGGCGGACGGGUGAGGAAUACAUCGGAAUCUACUUUUUCGUGGGGGAUAACGUAGGGAAACUUACGCUAAUACCGCAUACGACCUACGGGUGAAAGCAGGGGAUCUUCGGACCUUGCGCGAUUGAAUCAGCCGAUGUCGGAUUAGCUAGUUGGCGGGGUAAAGGCCCACCAAGGCGACGAUCCGUAGCUGGUCUGAGAGGAUGAUCGCCCACAUGGGAACGGGGAAACGGUCCGGAUCCCUAGGGGAGGCACAAGGGGGAAAAUUGGGACAAGGGGGGAAAGCCUGACCCAGCAAAACCGGGUGGUGGAAGAAGGCCUUCGGGUGGUAAAGCCUUUUUGUGGGGAAAGAAAAGCAGCAGUUAAAACCCCGGUUUUUUGGAGGUACCCAAAGAAUAAGCACCGGCUAACUUCGUG